GAUGAACGCUGGCGGCGUGCCUAAUACAUGCAAGUCGAGCGAACAGGCGAGGAGCUUGCUCCUCUGACGUUAGCGGCGGACGGGUGAGUAACACGUGGAUAACCUACCUAUAAGACUGGGAUAACUUCGGGAAACCGGAGCUAAUACCGGAUAAUAUAUUGAACCGCAUGGUUCAAUAGUGAAAGACGGUUUUGCUGUCACUUACAGAUGGAUCCGCGCCGCAUUAGCUAGUUGGUAAGGUAACGGCUUACCAAGGCAACGAUGCGUAGCCGACCUGAGAGGGUGAUCGGCCACACUGGAACUGAGACACGGUCCAGACUCCUACGGGAGGCAGCAGUAGGGAAUCUUCCGCAAUGGGCGAAAGCCUGACGGAGCAACGCCGCGUGAGUGAUGAAGGUCUUCGGAUCGUAAAACUCUGUUAUUAGGGAAGAACAAAUGUGUAAGUAACUAUGCACGUCUUGACGGUACCUAAUCAGAAAGCCACGGCUAACUACGUG
rnacentral:rRNA from 1 species